GAUGAACGCUGGCGGCGUGCUUAACACAUGCAAGUCGAACGAAGCACUUAAGAUUGAUUCUUCGGAUGAAGUCUUUUGUGACUGAGUGGCGGACGGGUGAGUAACGCGUGGGUAACCUGCCUCAUACAGGGGGAUAACAGUUAGAAAUGACUGCUAAUACCGCAUAAGCGCACAGGACCGCAUGGUCUGGUGUGAAAAACUCCGGUGGUAUGAGAUGGACCCGCGUCUGAUUAGCUAAGUUGGUGAGGUAACGGCCACCAAGGCGACGAUCAGUAGCCGACCUGAGAGGGUGAUCGGCCACAUUGGGACUGAGACACGGCCCAAA
rnacentral:rRNA from 1 species